GACGAACGCUGGCGGCGUGCCUAAUACAUGCAAGUAGAACGCUGAAGGAGGAGCUUGCUUCUCUGGAUGAGUUGCGAACGGGUGAGUAACGCGUAGGUAACCUGCCUGGUAGCGGGGGAUAACUAUUGGAAACGAUAGCUAAUACCGCAUAAGAGUAGAUGUUGCAUGACAUUUACUUAAAAGGUGCAAUUGCAUCACUACCAGAUGGACCUGCGUUGUAUUAGCUAGUUGGUGAGGUAACGGCCCACCAAGGCAACGAUACAUAGCCGACCUGAGAGGGUGAUCGGCCACACUGGGACUGAGACACGGCCCAGACUCCUACGGGAGGCAGCAGUAGGGAAUCUUCGGCAAUGGACGGAAGUCUGACCGAGCAACGCCGCGUGAGUGAAGAAGGUUUUCGGAUCGUAAAGCUCUGUUGUAAGAGAAGAACGAGUGUGAGAGUGGAAAGUUCACACUGUGACG
rnacentral:rRNA from 1 species